UAGCGUGAGAGGAGGUGCAUGCCGGUCGUCAGUUCGUACUGUGAAGCAUCCUGUUAAGUCAGGCAACGAGCGAGACCCACGCCAACAGUUGCCAGCUCGUCCUCCGGGAUGGUGGGGACACUGUUGGGACCGCCUCUGCUAAAGAGGAGGAAGGAAUGGGCAACGGUAGGUCAGCAUGCCCCGAAUUAUCUGGGCUACACGCGGGCUACAAUGGGUGGGACAAUGGGUAUCGACACCGAAAGGUGAAGGCAAUCUCCUAAACCCAUCCGUAGUUCGGAUUGUGGGCUGCAACUCGCCCACAUGAAGCUGGAAUCUGUAGUAAUCGUGUCUCAAAAUGGCACGGUGAAUAUGUCCCUGCUCCUU
rnacentral:rRNA from 1 species